UCCGUUGGUGAACCAGCGGAGGGAUCAUUACCGAGUGUAAAAACUCCCAAACCAUUGUGAACCUACCACUGUUGCUUCGGCGGCCUCGCCCCGGGCGCGUUCGCGCGGCCCGGACCCAGGCGUCCGCCGGAGGCUCCAAACUCUUGUCUUUUAGUGUAUUUCUGAGUGGCAUAAGCAAAUAAAUCAAAACUUUCAGCAACGGAUCUCUUGGUUCUGGCAUCGAUGAAGAACGCAGCAAAAUGCGAUAAGUAAUGUGAAUUGCAGAAUUCAGUGAAUCAUCGAAUCUUUGAACGCACAUUGCGCCCGCCAGUAUUCUGGCGGGCAUGCCUGUCUGAGCGUCAUUUCAACCCUCAGGACCCGUUCGCGGGACCUGGCGUUGGGGAUCAGCCUGCCCCUGGCGGCGGCUGGCCCUGAAAUCCAGUGGCGGUUCCCUCGCGAACUCCUCCGUGCAGUAAUUAAACCUCUCGCGGCAGGAUAGCGGUUGAACCACGCCGUUAAACCCCCCACUUCUCAAGGUUGACCUCAGAUCAGGUAGGAAUACCCGCUGAACUUAAGCAUAUCAAUAAGCGGCGGA
rnacentral:rRNA from 1 species